rnacentral:rRNA from 1 species
UACGAAGGGGGCUAGCGUUGCUCGGAAUCACUGGGCGUAAAGCGCACGUAGGCGGCUUUCUAAGUCAGGGGUGAAAUCCUGGAGCUCAACUCCAGAACUGCCUUUGAUACUGGAGAGCUCGAGUCCGGAAGAGGUGAAGUGGAACUCCGAGUGUAGAGGUGAAAUCGUAGAUAUUCGGUAAGAACACCAGUGGCGAAGGCGGCUCACUGGUCCGGUACUGACGCUGAGGUGACGAAAGCGUGGGGAGCAAACAGG